UACGAAGGGGGCUAGCGUUGCUCGGAAUUACUGAGCGUAAAGCGCACGUAGGCGGCUUUCUAAGUCGGGGGUGAAAUCCUGGAGCUCAACUCCAGAACUGCCUUCGAUACUGGAGAGCUCGAGUCCGGGAGAGGUGAGUGGAACUGCGAGUGUAGAGGUGAAAUUCGUAGAUAUUCGCAAGAACACCAGUGGCGAAGGCGGCUCACUGGCCCGGUACUGACGCUGAGGUGCGAAAGCGUGGGGAGCAAACAGG
rnacentral:rRNA from 1 species